AACGUAGGGGACAAGCGUUAUCCGGAUUUACUGGGCGUAAAGCGCCCGUAGGCGGCCUGACAAGUUGGACGUGAAAGCUCCUGGCUUAACUGGGAGAGGCCGUUCAAAACUGUCAAGCUAGAGUCUGGAAGAGGAGAGCGGAAUUUCCGGUGUAGCGGUGAAAUGCGUAGAUAUCGGAAGGAACAUCAGUGGCGAAAGCGACUUCCUGGACCAGUACCGACGUUCAGGCACGAAAGCGUGGGGAGCAAACAGG
rnacentral:rRNA from 1 species